UUUUUAUCUCUUUCUUCUUCCCUUGUUCCCACAUGGCAGCACCAUCUCACCACAGCCCUCCCUCUCUUACCUAAAAUCAUAGAUAUCCUUGUAUGUAAUUUUAAAAAGUUACAAGGGUGACUCAUCAACCCUUUUUCCUUAUCAACACACGUGCCCCACAAAUCCUUCUCCCUUAUCUUUUCUUGGCUACACCAAAAGCUUCAUUCUUCUUUCUCUAUUUCUUUUUCUUUGUUCUUAUCUCUUUCUUCUUCCCUUGUUCCCACACGGUAGCACCAUCUCACCAUAGCCCUCCCUCUCUCACCGAAAAUCAUAGAUAUCCCUCUCUAAGAAGGAAUCAAACUCUUACUAUAGUUUUAGCUUCAGUUGUGCGUGUUACAAGCACCCAAGUCUAAGUUCCUUCGACUGUAGGCUUUCGGUUCCUCUGCUUGCAGAUGGCAGGAAGGAACAAAACUUUGAGGGGAUGUGCCAUUAGGCCUCCCAAAGAGGACAAUAUCAUGCACACGAGGGUACCUAAAUAUGAUGAGGCCUUCUCUGUACAGACUUAUCAGAUAUGGAUUAACCAAUAUGUUAUGAACAACUAUAUUAUGUUAUUGACCAUGAGAGAAUGAUUUUGUUUAAAUGCAUUAUGAAAAGUUAAAAACUCUCAUAAAAAGAAGUUUCAAAGGAAAAGAAAAGCUGUUUUUUAAAGAUAAAAGUUUCUGAAGUUUUGUUAUGCUUUAAAGAUAAAUAAUCUGAUGAAAAGGUUUUAGUAUUCUGUAAAGAUAAAGUUUCUAAUGAAAGUACAAGUUUAAACGUUAAGUUUUAUGACUAUGAAAGUUAUAAUAUUUUACGAGAAGAAGUUUAUGAAGAAAAGUUUUGUUAUUCUUUAAGAUGUUUCUAGUUUAAGACAAAGUUACCAAUUAUCUGAUUUAAGUUAAAAUGAUUAUUUUGUAAUAAGACUAUAUGUGUGUGUGUGUAUAUAUAUAUAUAUAUAUAUGAUUUUAAAUAAUCAAUAUGAUAUUUGGUGACUUUGUAAAAAAUGAAAGAAAUUAAAUUUGAAAGGUUUUGGUAAUAUUUUUCUGAUAAGAAAGGGGAGAACAAUUAUUUUCCUAUGAAGAGCGUAUAAGUUGUUAUUAUGAAUAGUAUAAAAUACUAUACAUGAAAAGAUGUUCUCCUAUUUGAAUAUUUAUAGAAUGAAAUGAUUUGAUUUACAUGCAUCCUUAUUAAAUUCUCAUGUAUCUUAUCUUUACUGAGCUGUGCAGCUCGCCUCUUCCACUCUUUCAGUCAACAAGUUUUAUUUUGGAGCAUAGGGAGUCUUAGUCAAGUUUUGGAUGGAGCUAGUUUUAGUUUUAAUGUAUAGAUCCCAAAUUAGCAUUUGAUGUUUAGCUUUGUAGUAUUGUGCAUUUUAGGAUCUAAUGAAAGUUGUGUACCUUAAAGUAUUAAGAAAUGUAUUAUGUGAAAUUUAGAAUUUGAGUAACUGGUGGAUUAUAUUA